AGUAUGUGUGCCACGUUAAGGAGGAUUGGUCUCUACUGUCUAUGGUUGCAUUGCCGGUCCCAAGCCCUGGUAAAGGAGGAGGGAGAAGGGCUUUAGAAUGAGAACAUUAACUAUGGAGAAGUUUGCUUCAGUGCCUUUUGGUGGUGGUGGUGGCUUUGCUGUGGCUGCAAGUGCCGGUGGUGGAGCUGGUGCUCCUGAAGCACUUGCUGCUGAGGCCAAGAAAGAAGAGAAAGUGGAGGAGAUACAGUUCUGAUGUCAGAGAGGUAAGAGCCAUUCCAAUAAUCCUACAUGAUUUUAUUCUUUAUGAAGAGCAUAUGUUUUGCAUAAUGCAGAGUAGUUUAUCCUACUUUAUAAAUUCUUUAUGUCAUGAUUGCUUUUACAAACCCCUCUUUUCACCCUAACCAUCCCCUCUCUCAAUCUCACGAAGCCUCCCCUCUCUCAUGCCAUCAUCCGCAUCCCUGCUGCUCGAUCGUGUCUCGUUUAGAUCAUACGUCUUUUCCUUUCUGUUGAGGAGAACCGUGGAAGGCAAUAGACUUUUCAGUUUCUGAGCAGUGUAAGAGCAGCAUAUUUGUUUGGUGUGGAUGCUUGUUGUCCAAACCUAAAGGCUUCUAAAUGCCACAUUAACGUGAAGGUACCUCACACCUCUGUAGGGUAGAAUUGGAAGUUUUCUUUGCAGGUAGCUAUCUUUUGACAGCUGGUAUUUACCAUUGCCACCAAUUUUCCUUGCAUACUAAAAGGAGGGGCCUAUAUUUUCCCCAGAUGGAAAGUUAUGAUAUAGUGGUUCUUGAUUCAAGAUUGUCUAUAGAGGACUUCAGAACACAGAGCAAUCAGGUAAAUCCAGUAAUAAUGGAUUACACUUGAAGUAAACUAAGAAAAAAGGAAAGUUAACCAAACUCUAUUGGCAUUGUUCAUCUACAAUUCCUCAUUAGACUACAUCUUUAAUGAGUUCACUGUGAAACUACCUAUCAGUCCGUGACUUAGAUUCUUGACAGCUUUACUGCAAACAGUUAUGAUGCUGAAAAUUCAGAAGGGGUAGAGUAUUUGGAGGGCAAUGACAUCUCAUCUGUUGCGGAUCAGAUAGGUUUGAUUCCAAGGAUUGCUUCUUUGUUUCUGUUUGAUCGUGGUCUGACAUUGAUGGUCUAUCCAAUCAUUUCAACUAAUGGUGGAUUCCUUAACAGAUACAGGUUGUACACCAUUUCCAUUGGCCACUUGUUCUCAGCCCCUUGUUCUUGUUGGAGACAGCAGCUGUACAUUGACUUCAUCAAUGGAGCAGAACACAUUAACCAAGGAACAGGAAAAUACAGAAAAGUACAAGUGAAUGGCCCACAGAGCAUCGUCUAGUAGCGACUUGCUACUAACAAUGCCAGUAUGCAAUUUAUGUCCGAACAGCAAGCUGUUUCAUAUUUCUGGUGUACCAUUGGCUACUCAUCCAGAUUUGGAUCCAUAUUUUCAAAGAAUUGCAGAUGGAGACUUGUCACCUAUACUUACUGGGAGACCCAUAACAACCAUAUCAUUAAGUUCUGGUACUACACAGGGAAAGCCCAAUUUUGUUCCAUUUAAUGAGGAAUUGAUGAAAUCGACGUUGUAGAUAUUUCGUAUGUCCUAUGCUUUCAGAAACAGUUGUUUACAGGUAAGUAAAAUUGCUGAAAAGCUGUGAAUUGCAGCUGCGCUUCUAGCUAACUCACUUGUGACUUACAACUUUGCUUCUCAAUCACUCACUGAAGAAAAUAAUAUGGCAGGUGCUGGCGAAUUCCGUUGCUGGGAAGACCUGAUACCAGAUGCUCUUGGCCUGAUCUUUAGCCAUCUCUCUCUUCAAGAGAUCUUGACCGUUGUUCCAACGGUCUGCAAGUCUUGGGCUAUAGCAGUUUCAGGGCCUUACUGCUGGUAAGAUACAGACAUUGAGGAAUGGAGCCUCCAGCGUAAGCCAGAGCAACUGGAUCAAAUGCUUCAGAUGCUUGUCACCAGAAGCUGUAGUUUCGGUCAUCGGCUCUCCAUCUUCGGCCUCCCCAACGACGUCGUCUUCUCUUUCAUCGCUGACCGGUAAGUGGAAACACUCCCAUCGGGAUCACAUUUCCUCAAUUCGAGAUUUCUAUGGUUCAUUUCAGUUAAACUACGAUAGGGUUCUUAGAUUCAUAGAUUGUUGUUUUGGGUGUUUGUUUCAUUGUACAACUGUUGUUUUGUAUUGUUUCAUGAAAUGCAAAGUACUGGAGCCUUUUUUUAAUUACAUUAUGCUUUAUUCUCUUCAUGCGCCUUUAAAAUUUUUGUGAUGAGGAAUGACAACGGUAAUCAAGAGUUGGAAUUUAGGCAUAGGAAAAAAAAAGUAAUUUCUUGAUGUAUGAAUGCACCAGCAUGAGUUUUGGCCCAUGCCACACUGACUGAGGUGCAACAUUCUUUAUAUGUGUGAAAUUCUGGUCAGUCAUCCAAGCCAUCGGUAUGAUGC